UACGGAGGAUCCGAGCGUUUAUCCGGAUUUAUUUGGGUUUAAAGGGUGCGUAGGCGGCCUGUUAAGUUCAGGGGGUGAAAGACGGUAGCUCAACUAUCGCAGUGCCCUUGAUACUGAUGGGCUUGAAUGUACUAGAGGUAGGCGGAAUGUGACAAGUAGCGGUGAAAUGCAUAGAUAUGUCACAGAACACCAAUUGCGAAGGCAGCUUACUAUGGUAUUAUUGACGCUGAGGCACGAAAGCGUGGGGAUCAAACAGG
rnacentral:rRNA from 1 species